GACGAACCGUGCGAACGUUGUUCGGAAUCACUGGGCUUAAAGGGCGCGUAGGCGGAGGGUGUAGUCGGUGGUGAAAUCCUUCAGCUCAACUGGAGAAUGGCCUCCGAUACUGACUCUCUCGUGGGAGGUAGGGGCAUGUGGAACUCAGGGUGGAGCGGUGAAAUGCGUAGAUAUCCUGAGGAACGCCGGUGGCGAAAGCGACGUGCUGGACCUCUUCUGACGCUGAGGCGCGAAAGCCAGGGGAGCAAACGGG
rnacentral:rRNA from 1 species